GCAUAUCCUAUACUAGGAUUUAUUAUAGAUGUGUAUACGGAGGGUAUCCUAUAAUAGGAUCUUUUACAGACCGAUCUUCCCGUAUAUACCCGGAAACAGUCCGGAUAUGCCGCGGAUAUGGAGACUUGUAUCCUCUUGGAUCUCUCCGGAUCUUAGGUGUUUUUGUCCAGUGCUUGGAGUACGACUUG